UAAGGUGAAAUAAAAGAAAUCCAACAAGUAUGAGUUAAAUAAAACCGCAUUAUUGAGAUAUCGACCUUGGGCGGCGACGUUGGCGGAAUUGAGAGGAGGACAGCGGCUGCUUCUGUUUUUUAUGGAGAAAUUAGGGCUCGACUGUUGUUCUCUUUCGUAUGUGAGUACGAAUUGGUGCUUGAGGUUGAGAGGAGAGAGUGAUCUGAGAUGAGGCAGAGCGACACCGCCCUAAGGACGGCGACAUCGCCGGAGUUCAAAGGGGAGGGGGGAUGGCCUGCGGCGAUUCUGAGGCAAAAUUAGGGCUCGUCCCUUCCUCCAUGUGUAAUUGAGAACACUAGAGGCAACGCCGACGGCGGGCACAACCUCGUCGGAGAGGAGCCGCGACGGCAACAGUUUCCAAGAGAAUAAUGAACUAGGGCUCGAUUCUUUGUGUGUGGACUCUGGAAUUAUAGUGAUUGAGAGAAGAAGAGGAAACGAACGGCGAUUGUGUCGGAUUUAGAGAAACUACGGCAGCGCCGGCUCACCCAAUUUCAGUGUAGCGGCACUGGACUUGAGAAGAGAGGAGCAGCCGACUGAUUUUGACGAGCGGAAGAAUGAAUUGAAAGAGGAAAAGGAA
rnacentral:lncRNA from 1 species